rnacentral:tRNA from 1 species
UGGUAGACGCACUGGAUUUAGGUUCCAGCGCCGCAAGGUGUAAGAGUUCGAGUCUCUUCGCCCCCACCA